GUGAACACCUUUACUAAAUUUGGAACAAUACGGAAGAUUAGCAUGGCCCUGCACAACGAUGGUAUGCAGGUUCGUGAAGCUUCCAUAUUUUUA
ensembl:snRNA U6 U6 spliceosomal RNA